GAAACGACAAAAAGAAACAGAGUCAAAACUACUUCAUAGAUAAAACUGUAACUUAUCCAGGAGACUCUUACUUGAAUGGCAAGAUAUAUGCCGAUGAAAAGGAUAUGGAAACAUGGCUUCUCGAUCAUUCAUAUUCCGCAAAUAUCAAAAUUAACUAAAAUUCGUAAAGUCCUCAAAAGAUGUAGGACCUCUGACAAUGUUUAGCAAGGAACGCAAGAAUGGUCGGUUGAUUGAUAGGAUCCAGUUGCAGGACUGAGGCCGAUAUUCUGAAAGUGCUUCCGGACUUCAACAGGAAGAAGGCAUCCCUUAAUCUCCAUGAAUGAUCGGUUGAUCGAUAGCAUCCAUUUGCAGGACUGAGGCUGAAAUUCUGAAUCCACCUCCAUGCUCCAACUGGAAGAAGGCGUCCUUUACUCUCCAUGUAAGUCUUCUUGCAAGAGGCAUGGAUUUUUUUUCCCUUGUAC